GAGAGAUUAGCUCAUUUGGAUAGAGCGGCAGCCUCCGGAGCUGCAGGUGGUGGGUUCGAAUCCCGUAUCUCUCA
rnacentral:tRNA from 1 species